rnacentral:lncRNA from 1 species
UUUCCUCAAUUCAUCCUUCUCUUCCGAUUGAGGCCCACACAAUCCCCAAUUUCCUCCAAAUACUUCAGGGCAGAUCUCACAUUUUUCCCAAUGGCGCAGGUCAUGAACAUGCCCCUCGACUCCCUCGAAAAGCCCGACAAAUCCCCCUCCGCCACCGCUGACGCCGUCGCUGACGAUGACUCUGCGCCACCACCGCCACCACCUCCGCCUCCGUCGCAGCCCCAACAGACUUUGCCCGUUAGGCGGAGGGACAGAGAUUCCAGGGAGAGGAUGGACGAUAGGGACGGCGAUCGCCCUCGUAAUCGCCGCGGCAGCGGCGCCGAUCACUACGACCGGAACCUGUCUCCUCC